rnacentral:RNase_P_RNA from 1 species
GGCGUCGGCUAAUAGCUAUGAAAGUAGAGGAAAGUCCGUGCUAGCACCAUCUGCGAUGAUGGUAGUGAUUGUGUUAACUCUAAUAAAGUUAAGCCUAGACGACUAGUGCCACAGAGACGAGAAAAGUGAAACGCGGUAAACUCCGCAAGCUAGAAACCCAAAUUUUGGUAGGGGAACUGGUCCGAGCAAAAUGAAGUAAGGACCAGGAAGGAAACUUCAGAUAAAUUAUUAGCGCCCGCAAGGGUACAGAACACGGCUUAUAGAC